rnacentral:rRNA from 1 species
GAUGAACGCUGGCGGCGUGCCUAAUACAUGCAAGUCGAGCGAACGGACGAGAAGCUUGCUUCUCUGAUGUUAGCGGCGGACGGGUGAGUAACACGUGGAUAACCUACCUAUAAGACUGGGAUAACCUCGGGAAACCGGAGCUAAUACCGGAUGAUAUUUUGAACCGCAUGGUUCAAAAGUGAAAGACGGUCUUGCUGUCACUUAUAGAUGGAUCCGCGCUGCAUUAGCUAGUUGGUAAGGUAACGGCUUACCAAGGCAACGAUGCAUAGCCGACCUGAGAGGGUGAUCGGCCACAUUGGAACUGAGACACGGUCCAGACUCCUACGGGAGGCAGCAGUAGGGAAUCUUCCGCAAUGGGCGAAAGCCUGACGGAGCAACGCCGCGUGAGUGAUGAAGGUCUUCGGAUCGUAAAACUCUGUUAUUAGGGAAGAACAUAUGUGUAAGUAACUGUGCACAUCUUGACGGUACCUAAUCAGAAAGCCACGGCUAACUACGUG